rnacentral:lncRNA from 1 species
AUCGAAUAGUUAACUAUUCACACUCCAAAACACGCAAAUAUCUCAAAUAGAAUAUCAUUCCUGCCAAACAAUGCCCUAAAUCAUAUUACUAAUCAAAUUUCAUAUUGGCAUUGAUUUUGACUUUUGGGGGAAGGAGAAGUUUGUAUUAGAUUAAAUAAAAAGAAAAGUUUUCAUAAAAAAUAAAAAUAAAAUAAAAGGAGGAGGGGCAUCACAAUUCACAACACGACAAAUAACAGGUCCAACAGUCACGUCAAUCGAAAGAGAAAAUGCAAAGAUAAUCUGAAUAUGUGGUCAUCCGAAAAUACAAAAAACCAC